rnacentral:rRNA from 1 species
UACGUAGGGUCCGAGCGUUGUCCGGAAUUAUUGGGCGUAAAGAGCUCGUAGGCGGUCUGUCGCGUCGGCUGUGAAAACCUGGGGCUCAACUCCAGGCCUGCAGUCGAUACGGGCAGACUAGAGUUCGGUAGGGGAGACUGGAAUUCCUGGUGUAGCGGUGAAAUGCGCAGAUAUCAGGAGGAACACCGGUGGCGAAGGCGGGUCUCUGGGCCACUACUGACGCUGAGGAGCGAAAGCGUGGGGAGCGAACAGG